AUAACUAACUUCCUUCCUUCCUGCCUUCCUCCCUCCCUGCCUUCCCUUCCUUCCUGCCUUCCUUCUUCCUUCCUCCCUUUUUUCUUUUCUCCCUUCCUUCCUUCUUAAUAUGUUUUUGGCCUUUUCUUUAUAUAUGUGGCCUAGCAAUAUCCUGUGUUUGGAAAAGUAUAAACCUAAGGCAUCACCUUUACAGAAAAUAUCUUCCACGGAAACAUCUAAAGUGAGGAAGUAAAGUUGCAUUCACAGGCCUUGAACUUUUCCACAUCUCGAUUUUUACCCAUCAUCUCUGCAUAGUUCCCUAAGGCAGCCUUCAAAUGGUGAUGUUUCUUAUAAUCCAGAGUUCAGAAGUGGCUUCUCUUCAAUCUUUCUGUGGAAUUCUAAACCACGUGAUAAAGGAGCUGGUGGCCACAGAUCAGCCCUGGGGUUCAGAGGGAUCCUGACAGCUACUCCUCAAGAUCCUCUCUGUUGUGAUUCAUCCCCCCGGGGCCCUACAGUUUCUCCUUCCUGACUCUUACAUUUCUUUGGAUGGCAUCAUUAUUUACCUGUCUCCUCCCAUAGUUAGGUGCCAAGCACUGUGGAUUCUGCCUCUCAGUGUCCAGACACCCAUUUUCCUUCCCACUGUUCCUUCCCCAUGGAGAAGCCUGUGGCUGGCUGACAGCAGAGAGAGAUGCUCAACUUGGAGAAGGUGUUACCUGGGCCAGGUGGGGAAGGUUUGUUUGCAGAGCAAAGAAGUGAAGGAAGUAUUAACCCUUUGCAUGGCCUCCUGAGAAUCCGACAAGACGUAAAUAGCCAAGAAUAUCUGUGAAACUUCAUCACUGAGUUACAAUAUUUAUCACUGCAAGUGUG
rnacentral:lncRNA from 1 species